AUACCUCUCUUCGCCUUUUGGCUAAGAUCAAGUGUAAUAUCUGUUCUUAUCUUUAUUCUUUUUUGGUAAAUCAUAAUAUCUGUUCUUAUCAGUUUCAUAUCUGAAACAUGAGCUAGCCAUUGAUCCACAUGACAUGAUCACAGUAGUUUUCUGUUGAAGCCUUC
rnacentral:snRNA from 1 species